GGUGAUCUUGGUCAAAUUAUCUGGGCAAUUGGGCAAAUCACUGCCCCGAUCACUUGUGACUAUGGUAUAUUCAGCCGAUUUGCCCGGCGAUUUAGGCAAGCAGUGGGCAAAUCACUGGGCAAAUCACUACAUCUGGGCUGCCUCCCAGUAGCGCCCUGUUUUCUGUCUUGGGCUGGACUUCAGUGUCUUGCUCAGCAGUCUUGGGAAGGGGGAUCCAAGGGAACCUCCUCCACAACAUGGACAAUAAAACCUUCAUAGAAUCUCUUCAAACGAUACCCAUUAAUCUUGAAAACCUUGCUUGUUUGUGGACUCCGUAUGUCAAUAGCUUCAUGUGCUGUAUCCUGUCUCUGAUUCUGGUGAGAUGAGCCUCCACCGAAUGGUCUUGAGGUGCCUUUUAUGUCCUCCAAGGUCCACCCAAUUGCUUUUUUGUGCUUC
rnacentral:lncRNA from 1 species